CAUUAUACCGUGAAACUGCGAAUGGCUCAUUAAAUCAGUUAUCGUUUAUUUGAUAGUACCUUACUACUUGGAUAACCGUGGUAAUUCUAGAGCUAAUACAUGCUGAAAACCCCAACUUACGAAGGGGUGUAUUUAUUAGAUAAAAAACCAACGCCCUUCGGGGCUUCUUGGUGAUUCAUGAUAACUUUACGGAUCGCAUGGCCUUGCGCCGGCGACGGUUCAUUCAAAUUUCUGCCCUAUCAACUUUCGAUGGUAAGGUAUUGGCUUACCAUGGUUUCAACGGGUAACGGGGAAUUAGGGUUCGAUUCCGGAGAGGGAGCCUGAGAAACGGCUACCACAUCCAAGGAAGGCAGCAGGCGCGCAAAUUACCCAAUCCCGAUACGGGGAGGUAGUGACAAUAAAUACUGAUACAGGGCUCUUUUGGGUCUUGUAAUUGGAAUGAGUACAAUUUAAACCUCUUAACGAGGAACAAUUGGAGGGCAAGUCUGGUGCCAGCAGCCGCGGUAAUUCCAGCUCCAAUAGCGUAUAUUAAAGUUGUUGCAGUUAAAAAGCUCGUAGUUGAACCUUGGGCCUGGCUGGCAGGUCCGCCUCACCGCGUGUACUUGUCCGGCCGGGUCUUCCUUCUGGAGAACCUCAUGCCCUUCACUGGGCGUGUUGGGGACCAGGACUUUUACUUUGAAAAAAUUAGAGUGUUCAAAGCAGGCCUUUGCUCGAAUACGUUAGCAUGGAAUAAUAGAAUAGGACGUGCGGUCCUAUUUUGUUGGUUUCUAGGACCGCCGUAAUGAUUAAUAGGGACAGUCGGGGGCAUCAGUAUUCAAUUGUCAGAGGUGAAAUUCUUGGAUUUAUUGAAGACUAACUACUGCGAAAGCAUUUGCCAAGGAUGUUUUCAUUAAUCAGUGAACGAAAGUUAGGGGAUCGAAGACGAUCAGAUACCGUCGUAGUCUUAACCGUAAACUAUGCCGACUAGGGAUCGGGCGAUGUUCUUUUUCUGACUCGCUCGGCACCUUACGAGAAAUCAA
rnacentral:rRNA from 1 species